ACGAACGCUGGCGGCGUGCUUAACUCAUGCAAGUCGAACCGAAAGGCCCUGCUUGCAGGGUACUCGAGUGGCGAACGGGAGAGUAACACGUGGGUGAGCUGCCCUGCACUUCGGGAUAAGCCUGGGAAACUGGGUCUAAUACCGGAUAGGAUCCAUAUUUAAAGUGAUGGUUGAAAAGUUUUGUGGGUUUAUGACUAGCUCGCGGCCUAUAAGCUUGUUGGUGGGGUAAUGUCGUACCAAGGUGGCGACGGGUAGCCGGCCUGAGAGGGUGGACGGCGACAUUGGGACUGAGAGGCGGCCCAGACUCCUACGCGUGGCAGCAGUGGGGAAUAUUGCACAAUGAGCGCAAGCCUGAUGCAGCGACGCCGCGUGGGGGAUGACGGCCUUCGGGUUGAAAACUCCUUUCGCUAGGGACGAAGCUUUUUGUGACGGUACCUAGAUAAGAAGCGCAGGGUAACUACGUG
rnacentral:rRNA from 1 species